AAGAAAUUAGUUAAAUAAUAACAUUAAUAUGUCAUAUUAAAAUUGUUGAACAAUCAGCAUUUCUUA
rnacentral:tRNA from 2 species